GGGCGUGUAGCUCAGGGGUAGAGCGUUCGCUUCGCAUGUCCGGUACAUUACAGUAACGCUAAUAUGUAUCCGCGGUCUGCGAAAGGCCCUGGGUUCGAUUCCCAGCUCGUCCA